GAUGAUUUUCCUUAAUGUACCGACUAUCUGCAGAUUUUUUUUGGGAAAUCUACAUAAAUGAUAAAUGUCAAUGUGAUUGCAAAUGAACACUGCUAUGCAAGUGUGACCCAUACAUUUCAUUGGAUAUUUUCUUUUCUAUUAUCACUUUUGCUAUCAGUUAAAAAAAGUAACAGGAUGGACAAAAUUGAACACCAGCUGGCAC
rnacentral:lncRNA from 1 species